GGUCCCGUAGUGAAGCGGUAAACGCCCUGGACUUUGAAUCCAGUAACGCGAGUUCGAAUCUCGCCGGGACCU
rnacentral:tRNA from 1 species